GGCGGACGGGUGAGGAAUACAUCGGAAUCUACUCUGUCGUGGGGGAGUAACGUAGGGAAACUUACGCUAAUACCGCAUACGACUACGGUGAAGCAGGGAUCUUCGGACCUUGCGCGAUUGAAUGAGCCGAUGUCGGAUUAGCUAGUUGGCGGGGUAAAGGCCCACCAAGGCGACGAUCCGUAGCUGGUCUGAGAGGAUGAUCAGCCACACUGGAACUGAGACACGGUCCAGACUCCUACGGGAGGCAGCAGGC
rnacentral:rRNA from 1 species